AACGAACGCUGGCGGCAUGCCUAACACAUGCAAGUCGAACGAGACCUUCGGGUCUAGUGGCGCACGGGUGCGUAACGCGUGGGAAUCUGCCCUUGGGUUCGGAAUAACAGUGAGAAAUUACUGCUAAUACCAGAUGAUGUCUUCGGACCAAAGAUUUAUCGCCCAGGGAUGAGCCCGCGUAGGAUUAGCUAGUUGGUGGGGUAAUGGCCUACCAAGGCGACGAUCCUUAGCUGGUCUGAGAGGAUGAUCAGCCACACUGGGACUGAGACACGGCCCAGACUCCUACGGGAGGCAGCAGUGGGGAAUAUUGGACAAUGGGCGCAAGCCUGAUCCAGCAAUGCCGCGUGAGUGAUGAAGGCCUUAGGGUUGUAAAGCUCUUUUACCCGGGAUGAUAAUGACAGUACCGGGAGAAUAAGCUCCGGCUAACUCCGUG
rnacentral:rRNA from 1 species